GUCAGAUUCAGAUAAACACCGCGGAUAUAUGGAUCCGAUCCGAUCCGAUCCAUGAAUACUCUAGGUGGAGGAGUGAGAAAUUGGACUGCUAACCCCAAAAUUUUAGAUGAGUUUCACCAACUCACUGCUUUAGGCAGUUUAGGAGCUGGGAUCAUUGCUCUUAAAUAUCCUAGAAUAUUGUAUUGUUGUUUCACAAAUGUGGAAGAAAUUCUCCAUACUGGAACUAGUGCUUCAGCUCCUGGAAUAUGGCUCCUGACUCAAUUGGCAACUGCUAAGGUUAUUGCAACAACUCUUUGCAAGGGCUCUGGGCUAGGUGGUCUUUAUGUGCCAACUUUAAUGAUUGGUUCUAUAGUUGGUGCUGCAUUUGGAGGCGUUGGGGUAGAAUUUAUCAAUUCAGCAAUCCCUGGAAAUGCUGUUGUGGCCCAACCCUAGGCAUUUGCUCUUGUUGGAAUGGCUGCUACAUUAGCAUCUGUCUAUUCUGUCCCUUCAAUUUCAGUUCUACUGCUGUUUGAACUGACCAAAGAUUAUAUAUUACUUCUUCCUCUCAUGGUAACUAUUCAAUAAAAUGCUUACCCAAAAUUACAUGAUAGUGAUAAUAAAUUGCUUACUUAGUUUAUAUGUGCAGUUUUCUGCUGUUCUCCUAUUCUUAAGUUUAACAAAAUGAAAAAUUUGCAAACUGCAUUCUUUUACCUCGAUUGAACUAGAGAAGAUGUUUGGUAUAUUCCUACAUGCUGAUUUUCUCAUUUUUUGUUUCCCUGUAUCUUAUGUUAAAGCAAGGCAAAAGAAAAUUGUUUUGCUCCUUUAAAGUGUGCGGCCGUUAAUUACUAUGCCAUUUACAGAAAGACAGUAGGCGAGUAUUGUUCAACACAUUUUUUGUCUAAGAAAAUAGUACUUACUUUCUCAUCAUAGAGCAAUGUGCUAUUUGACAAUUUUCCAAAUAUUGAUUAACUAGACAGUUUUUUGGAACAGAGAUCUGAGAUAUAAUGAUCUUAUGGGGUCAUUCACUGCCACAUUUAAAGUCAAUAUAUUAUGCCUGCAAUGAUCGCAUGAACCAUAAGCUUUCAGGAAACUUGAACAUUUCAAUCAAUACAAAUAAUGGAAGUUGUCAGAAAGGGAAUGAUUUUCCACAAGUAGCAAUUAUUUCAGCCGUUGCAUGUGGCUCUUUCUUGAUUGCUAUGGCUGUUGGAACAAUUUUAAUUUAUCCUUAUAAAUAGAGACUAGAUCCAUUGGAAGCAUUUGGAAGAAAAAGCAACCCAAUUAUAACAAGUACGCAUUAAUAAUUCUCAUAUCCUCUAAUGUUUGGAGUUCUUGGUCGUUUUGCAUUAUAUCCAAAAUCAAAGGAAUAAACCACCAUUUGUACCCGUGAAUUUUGUGAACACCAACAAAGUACCCAUAAAAAAAGAAAACUA